rnacentral:tRNA from 1 species
AAGCAAGAAGCGAAAAUCGCCAUCAGUUUCGACCUGAUUAUUGGUAGUAAUUCUACCCUUACUUU